rnacentral:tRNA from 1 species
GGACCAUUAACUCAGUUAGGUUAGAGUCUCCGUCUCAUAAACGGAAGGUCCUGUGUUCAAUCCACAGAUGGUCCA